AUGGAGAAUGUUGUAGUGCUGAUUGUUCGCGCUGGGCCAGCAGGCCUUGCAACAGCAGCAUGCCUUAGCCAAUUCUCAAUUCCCUAUGUCAUUGUCGAGCGUGAAAGUUGCAGCGCGUCGCUUUGGUGCAACCGCGCCUACGAUCGCCUCAAGCUGCAUCUUGCAAAGGAGUUCUGUGAGUUGCGACACAUGUCAUACCCACUAGAUGCACCAACAUACAUACCAAAAACCUUGUCUGUGAAGUACUUGGAUAACUAUGUUGAGGGUUUCAAUAUUCGACCCAAGUAUCUCACUAGUGUGGAGACAUCCACAUUUGACAAUGACGAAAACUGUUGGUCCAUCGUGGCACAUUACAUGGCAAAGAGCACACUAGUCAGGUUCACAACAAAGUUUCUUGUCGUUGCAAGUGGUGAGAAUAGUGCAGAGAAUAUUCCAAUGAUCCCCGGAUUGCAAAGUUUUCUGGGUGAUGUCAUCCACUCCUCAAGCUACAAGUCAGGCAAGAGCUACUCUGGCAUGAAUGUAUUGGUCGUUGGAUCCGGCAACUCUGGAAUGGAAAUUGCUUAUGACCUUGUGGCCCAUGAAUUAAUCCGGUUGGGGAUGACACUUGCUCGCCGUCUCCCAUUGAAUCUAGUGGAUAACCUCCUUGUGAUGGCGGCAAAUUUCAUAUUUGGUGAUCUAUCGAGGUAUGGCAUCAGAAGGCCAAAAGUGGGUCCAAUGAUCCACAAGUCAGAGACCGGCCGAUCCGCUGUUAUUGAUGUUGGCACCAUUGGGUUAAUCAAAAAAGAUGUUGUCUUCAUAUGCCAAGGUGUCAAUAUUCUAUUCAUCUCAUACAGGUACAGGGGAGCAUUAAAUGGUGAGAGCAUGUUAAAUGGCAAUAGACUGCCCAUCAAAGAAUAUCCAAAUCAUUGGAAAGGUAAAAAUGGGCUCUACUGUGCUGGGUUAGGAAGGAGAGGAUUGGCUGGUAUUGCAGCAGAUGCCAAGAAUAUCGCCAAUGACAUCAUAUCAGUGAUAGGUGCUAUGUCCGGGAGGACUGUAACUUUUCCCCAUCCUUUCAAUGCAAUGAAACGCAAAGAGUUUUGUAUUUUUCUUAUUGAACACUUACCUCGGAGGGCCGUGGGCGAGGCUGUUGUCAGAGUCCUCGGAGAUGUUCAUGGAAGCAUCAUCACCCUCCUCCUGGCUCCCACCUCGACCCUCCUCUUUGUUGAAGAUAUUGUGUGCGCGCCUCCGGCUGCUGGUGUUGAAGAAAAAUUGAUGCCCAUGUGUGUGCUCGAGGCUGCACUUGAUAUAAUUCUUAUUCGGAUCAUGACUGAACUUGCAGUGCAGAACUUUUUCCGUGUUGACUUGGAGUUUUUGAGCUCCUUCUCAUUGGUGCGGUUUCAAUUAUACUGA
rnacentral:rRNA from 1 species